rnacentral:lncRNA from 1 species
AGAGAACUUUGUGGAGGUGCCUAGGCGGUGGACUCUCGCCUGUCUUCUCUGUGGGAUCCACGGGAUAGUCCCAUGAUCCUAGGAGAGGGCAGACGUGAGCCAGCCUGAAGAAACGCCAAGCAGGAGCCCCAGGAAUAAACCGCAAAAUCCCUAAGGAUCCAAAAGGAUCUGCAGGAUGCCUCAGGCCUGCCUAGUCAUCGUAGGGAUAUGGACACUAUUGAUGGGAGCGGCUGGCCAUCUGGAGUGGCAGUUGCCAUCAUGCCAGUAGCGCUUGGGCCGCAUGGGCAGUGUUGUCAGGAGCAGCAGCAGGAGCAGCAGUGGCGGUGGUAGGACCCCG